rnacentral:lncRNA from 1 species
AUCAGAUAAAAGAUAAACCUGAAAUAUAAAACUAUGAUCAAGUUUCAUUUCAACAUGAUCUGACCAUGGACCAAAGGAGACUUCUAGGCACAUUGGGGUAGAAAGAUAGAAAUGGGGCACUGGCUUCUAUUCUAUUUCCAGUAGGAUUAUGCCAAAUACCAUCGGGCUGAGUCUAGGGAAUAGGUGAGACAGGAGAAUUCAGGAAUGAAAUCUGUAUGUGACCACAUACAGAAAUUUCUAUGUGACCACAGGAGAAAAAUUCUUUCUUCAGGCUGAUAUCUUCCUCUGACAUGACCACUUGGGGGUGGACUGCUCAAGUAUAGAGAAGAGGAGCCACAUGUUUUCUGCAUUUGGAAACCCAGCUGCCCAUUCCAGCUGCCUUGCAUUUUCCUCUCACCCUGUUGCCCAGACCCCAUAUCUAUGCCUGAGUCAGUGCUCUGAGAUGAUCUGCAUCUGAUUAGAUCAUGGAAGCCCCAGCUCAGCUUCUCUUCCUCCUGUUACUGUGGUUCUCAGGGUUUGGACUCAGAUUCCUUGAUUUUUCUUCAGACAAGAUGCACUGCCUGAGUCAGGUACAACGUCAUCAAGAACAGCAUAAGAUCAGACCCUCACGAGUGGAUGCUUCUCAAGUCCCUGGCAUGUGCAGAGAGCAGCAACCACAAGUGAGAACAAAGAAAGAAUGGACAGGGAGAGGUAAAAGUAGCAUAACUCACAGGCAAGACAGUGUGCAGAGAAAAUUCAAAGUAAGCUACAGAGAAACUGCUACAAUUAAUAAAAGAAUUAGGAAAUCAAAAGUAUUCCAAGUCUGUGGUGAUGGUUUAGUUGCUAAGUUGUGUCCAAUUCUUACGACCCUAUGGACUGUAGCCCACCAGGCAGAUUCUUUACCACCGAGCUGGAGAAGCCCCACAUUCAAAGUCAGUCCACAAAAAUAAAUUUAAUUUCUAUAUAACUGGUACAAAUUCUGAAAAAUUGUGAUAAAACACUUCACUUACAGUGGUGGAUAUUCACUGAAUAUUUAAGGAAAUAUACUGAAAGUUCCAGAAUAUUAUUCAAAGAAAAUGUAAGUAAAUGGAAGACAGGAAUCUAUUCAAGGAUUGAAAGUCACAGUAUUUUCAAGAUGCCAAUUAUUUGCAAAUUGAUACAUUUGUUAAAUAUAAUCCAAAACAAAAUUCCAACUAUUUUUUAAACAGACAGUUUUAAGCUGAGUCUAAAUUUUAUGUGGAAAUAUCAAGGGCUUAGAACAACUCUGUAAAGUUAAAGAACUCGAUUAAAGACUUUCAUUUCUGGAUACUGGGGGUGUAGUAGAGGUGAAAGUUCAUGCAAAUUGUCCAGUGGAACAGAGGAGAGUAUUUGGAGAGAGACCAGUGCAUAUGUUGAAAGUUUCUAGUGAGAAAGGUGAACUUGCAGAGUGGAGUAGAAUGAGCCUCUUUUCAAGAGGCAGAACCUAGUAAAUCACAUGCAAGUGGCCAAAAUGGAUACAAAAAAGUGC